GACGAACGCUGGCGGCGUGCCUAAUACAUGCAAGUCGAACGCAGUGGGGACGGGUGAGUAACAAGUGGGUAACCUCCCAUCAGAGGGGAUAACACUUGGCAACAGGUGCUAACCCGAUACGGAUGGAUGGACUCGCGGUGCAUUAGCUGGUGGGUGAGGUAACGGCCCACCAAGGCCACGAUGCAUAGCCGGCCUGAGAGGAUGAUCGGCCACACUGGGACUGAGACACGGCCCAGACUCCUACGGGAGGCAGCAGUGGGGAAUCUUGGGCAAUGGACGAAAGUCUGACCGAGCAACGCCGCGUGAGUGAAGAAGGUUUUCGGAUCGUAAAGCUCUUUUGUUAGAGAAGCGUUAUCUAACCAGAAAGCCACGGCUAACUACGUGCCAGCAGCCGCGGUAAUAC
rnacentral:rRNA from 1 species